CCAAUAGCGUAUAUUAAAGUUGUUGCAGUUAAAAAGCUCGUAGUUGAAUUUCGGGAUCAAUAUGUCGGUCGUGCCUUCGGUACGUACUGGUAUCAUUGGUCUCUCCUUUCUGACGAACCAUGAUGUCAUUAAUUUGGUGUUAUGGGGAGUUAGGACUGUUACUUUGAAAAAAUUAGAGUGUUUAAAGCAGGCUUUAGCUUGAAUACAUUAGCAUGGAAUAAUGAAAUAGGACGUUCGAACCUAUUUUGUUGGUUUCUAGGAUCAACGUAAUGAUUAAUAGGGAUAGUUGGGGGCAUUAGUAUUCAAUUGUCAGAGGUGAAAUUCUUGGAUUUAUUGAAGACUAACUACUGCGAAAGCAUUUGCCAAGGAUGUUUUCAUUAAUCAAGAACGAAAGUUAGGGGAUCGAAGACGAUCAGAUACCGUCGUAGUCUUAACCAUAAACUAUGCCGACUAGGGAUCGGAUGAUGUUAAUUUUUUAAUGACUCAUUCGGCGCCUUACGGGAAACCAAAGUGUUUGGUUC
rnacentral:rRNA from 1 species